rnacentral:rRNA from 1 species
CCUACGGGGUGCUGCAGUGAGGAAUAUUGGUCAAUGGGCGGAAGCCUGAACCAGCCAAGUCGCGUGAGGGAUUAAGGCCCUGCGGGUCGUAAACCUCUUUUGCCGGGGAGCAGCGGUCCGGACGUGUCCGGGCCGGGAGAGUACCCGGAGAAAAAGCCUCGGCUAACUCCGUGCCAGCAGCCGCGGUAAUACGGAGGAUGCGAGCGUUAUCCGGAUUUAUUGGGUUUAAAGGGUGCGUAGGCGGGCAUUUAAGCCGGCGGUCAAAUGUCGGGGCUCAAACCCGGCCUGCCGUCGGAACUGGGUGCCUUGAGUGGGCGAGAAGUAGGCGGAAUGCGUGGUGUAGCGGUGAAAUGCAUAGAUAUCACGCAGAACCCCGAUUGCGAAGGCAGCAUACCGGCGCCCUACUGACGCUGAGGCACGAAAGUGCGGGUAUCGAACAGGAUUAGAUACCCGAGUAGUC